CUAGUACUCCCUCCGUCCGGAAAUACUUGUCAUCAAAAUGAAUAAAAGGGGAUGUAUCUAGAUGUAUUUUGGUUCUAGAUACACCCCUUUUUGUCUCUUUUGAUGACAAGUUUUUUCGGACGGAGGGAGUACAAA
rfam:Triticum aestivum genome assembly, contig: Triticum_aestivum_CS42_TGACv1_scaffold_223798_3B